UAUAUAUAUAUAUAUAUAUAUAUCUUAGAUGAAAGAUUGAGAAUGUGAUCAUGCAUAGGCGUUUGAUAACACGUUGUAAGGUCCAAGUGAAGUAGGCAGGCUCUCUAUAUUAUGUGGUUUGGUUUACCAAAAAAAAAAAAAAAAGUAGCUGACAAACAAGUAGUUGCCAAAAGUGGGUGUCAAAUUACCCCCAUAAACAAGUAGGUUUCUCUUAUUUCUCCUUCGUCCCACUCUCAAGCCAUCUAUUAUUAUCAAUCCACCAAAAUAAUAGUGAAGAUUAUUUUUGAGUAUUUAUAUUGUUAGUAAGGAUGGGAAUGAUUAUGAUUAAAGAUUUGGGUUUUUUCUUUUUUCACAAUCUCUUAUGGGUCUUGCCCCUCUCCUCCAAACAGCAUUUUGACCAAGUGGGUUUUGAUUUGUGCAGGUCUGGAGUUGUCUCCACGUGAAGGCCAACUGAAAGUUGGUCUUUCCACUUUUAUUUCCAUGUUUGAUAUUCUCUCAACUUGGUCAAGCUAUCACCAUUGAGAAAAUGCUUGAAUGGUGGUUUAUUUGGACUAUGUGGUUUUGCCAAAGGGUACAAUUUUGAUUUGCUUUUUGGUUGAUGGUUUUAGAUGCUCGUUGAUGAUAUUGGAGACGUGACAAUUACUAAUGAUGGUGCUACAAUAUUGAAGAUGCUAUAAUUUUUUGGUGGCUUUUUGUGUACAAAGCACCACAUUUAAACAAUUGCAUUUUUUUGGAAGUGUUGAAGGAUUUGUUUAAAUACUUUGGAAUUUUGAUAAUGGUUAUAGAAAAUGUUAUGUAUUUGAUAAUAUAUUUCUAUGUUAAUAUAAUGUUAGUUUGGAGACA